GUGAACCAGUACCGUGAGGGAAAGGCGAAAAGAACCCCGGCGAGGGGAGUGAAAAAGAACCUGAAACCGUGUACGUACAAGCAGUGGGAGCCCCACCACUAAGCCAGUGGUGAACUCCACAUACGCAUCCUUUGCUGAGGAUACGGUUAACGGAGCGAAAGCGACGUUCAACCUCAAAAGAAGCAGAGGGGGCUUAGUGGUGGGGUGACUGCGUACCUUUUGUAUAAUGGGUCAGCGACUUAUAUUCUGUAGCAAGGUUAACCGAAUAGGGGAGCCGGAGGGAAACCGAGUCUUA
rnacentral:rRNA from 1 species